AUACUCACCUAGCAGGGGAGAUACCGUGAUCAUGAAGGUGGUUUUCCCAGAGUAAGGUUUAUCCACUACACUCUGGACAUAUGAACCCCUGUGAUUUUCCAAAAUGCGGGAAAUUCACAGCAUAACUUGUGGUAGUGGGGGACUGUGUUCAUGAUCACCCU